GAAAAAAAGGCGGGCAUAUCGGCUGAACUACUAACAAGCUUCAGUCUAAAACCCUAUCAUUCACAUCCUGGCUGCAGGUAGGAGAAGUGCUGAUUGGUUGAUUUAGAGUUCUAAUAAGAAGAGAUUUAACGUAUGUAGCCAAUCAUAAUUUUUGCACAGUAGACAAACACAUAACAGUUGGUCCUUUAUAAUGUUAAGAAAAUACAGUAGAUCCAGAUGUGUUUCUCAAGGAUUAGUGAACCACGGUCUAAAAUCUAUAUAACAGACUAUGUAUAAUAUAUAUGUUGUAGAACGGAAACUACAUCUGGAGAUGUGGCAGGUUGUGGCUGUGAACAGUUUAAGGUACCCUGUAGAGUUUUUCACCAUUAAUAGCAUUAUGGAGCGAUGUAUUUAUGGGUGGGUCACCUUUUUUUUUUAUUAGUUAAUGUUUGAGAUUGACCCUGCCCCCUCUAACCUGAUCUACAGGUGGCAGUAUGACACCAACAUAAGCAGCUGAAACACACUAAAGUGAAUAUGAACGUAUGGAAGUUAAACAACGCAGAUUUCAACAAAUGUUUUAUGGAGGAAUCAAAAUGUAUCAAACAAGAAUACAGACAAUGCUUGAGUGAGGAACACUGAAUGAAAAAAGAUAACUCCACAGGGAACCUUAAAAAACAGCCAAGUUUGAAAUUUCUUAAAGUCAGUAAACGCCCCAUGAAGGCUUUUACAGUAGCAGCUGAUUCAAAUUAAAAAAGGAGCUUAAUUCAGACUGAUAAUAGCACAGCAUUGAAGAAAAAAAGCUUAAUGUGGCUUGUUGCUGGGGUGCACACAAAAAAAGCCAAAAUAUACAAAGACUUCUGAUUGAACUUAAAAUAACUAUUAGACGUUAUAAUCCAAUAAGACAGCAUGUUAACAGUUCUGUGCAGUGUUUCAGCAUCUGAUAAGCGCUUCACUGACAUCAAUUAGUCAAACUGAACUUCGUGGAUCUAUUUCCAUGUUUUUAACAGUACCUGUAUAAACAUUGCCCCCACACCACCAGCACAGCUGUUUUCUUAACACUGUGCUAUUUAGUCUGAGUUUAGCUUUUAGAAUAAACACCUGUGAGCAGAUUUCACCUCUUUUUUUCCCACAUCCAUAAUUUUAACUGGUCGUCUUCAGACAUGCAGUUUUUACAUGUGGCUCUACUGUGAUCUUACAGAGUAGAGGAUGAUUUCACUUACCAGAAAUACUCCUAUUCUGCUAAAUGUAGUUUUGAUUUCAUUUCACGUUCCUGCUUAAAGUUGAGCUGAAGCAGCCCUUUCAUUUCCCUAAAAAAUAUUUCUCUAAAAUGCUGCAGUAAGGUAAAUUCUGAAUUCCUGCAAUGGGAGUUAAUAAGAGUGAAUGUGAUCUAAAGGGAGACCCCCAAAGUUGAGGAGCACUGGUGUAAAAAAAAAGCACUUGAGAUUAGAAAAAAAAAAAGAAGUUAGGGCUAAAAAACACAUGCUCAGAUUGAGGCUGUGAUGAUGAUGUCAUCUCUCAUGUUUAACCUUCUAGCUUGUGAGGUAUGAACCUGGUUAGCAUGAACGCAGCCCGCUAGAAGGAGAGAGAACAUUUGGGUAUGGCUCUUUAGUAACAAAACAUAACCAUCAUCUCACUUCCAUAAUAAAUUAAAAAAAUUAUACCAAAAAAA